rnacentral:rRNA from 1 species
CCCCUAGAUGUUCUGGGCCGCACGCGCGCUACACUGAACAGUUCAACAAGUCUUAACCUUGGCCGAUAGGUCUGGGUAAUCUUUGAACGCUGUUCGUGAUUGGGAUAGACCUUUGCAAUUAUGGGUCUUCAACGAGGAAUUCCUAGUAAACGCAAGUCAUCAGCUUGCAUUGAUUACGUCCCUGCCCUUUGUACACACCGCCCGUCGCACCUACCGAUUGAAUGGUCCGGUGAAAUCUCGGGACGGCGGCUUGGUCGCUUGCGUCAGACUGCUGAAACUUGAUUAAACCAUAUCAUUUAGAGGAAGGUGAANUCGUANCA